rnacentral:lncRNA from 1 species
GAGAACCAGACAGUUGGACUGGGGAGUGAGGGAACCAGACAGUUGGACUGGGGGUGUGAGAGAACCAGACAGUUGGACUGGGGUGUGAGAGAACCAGACAGUUGGACUGGGGGUUGAGAGAACCAAACAGUUGGACUGGGGGUGUGAGAGAACCAGACAGUUGGACUGGGGGAGUGAGAGAACCAGACAGUUGGACUGGGGAGUGAGAGAACCAGACAGUUGGACUGGGGUGUGAGAGAACCAGACAGUUGGACUGGUGGAGUGAGAGAACCAGACAGUUGGACUGGUGGAGGGAGAGAACCAGACAGUUGGACUGGGGGAGUGAGAGAACCAGACAGUUGGACUGGGGAGUGAGAGAACCAGACAGUUGGACUGGUGGAGUGAGAGAACCAGACAGUUGGACUGGGGGUGUGAGAGAACCAGACAGUUGGACUGGGGAGUGAGAGAACCAGACAGUUGGACUGGGGGAGUGAGAGAACCAGACAGUUGGACUGGGUGAGUGAGAGAGCCAGACAGUUGGACUGGGGGAGUGAGAGAACCAGACACUUGGACUGGGGGUGUGAGAGAACCAGACAGUUGGACUGGGGUGUGAGAGAACCAGACAGUUGGACUGGGGGAGUGAUAGAACCAGACAGUUGGACUGGGGGAGUGAGAGAACCUGACAGUUGGACUGGGGGAGUGAGAGAACCAAACAGUUGGACUGGGAGUGUGAGAGAACCAAACAGUUGGACUGGGGGUGUGAGAGAACCAGACAGUUGGACUGGGGGUGUGAGAGAACCAGACAGUUGGACUGGGGGAGUGAGAGAACCAGACAGUUGGACUGGGAGUGUGAGAGAACCAAACAGUUGGACUGGGGGUGUGAGAGAACCAGACAGUUGGACUGGGAGUGUGAGAGAACCAGACAGUUGGACUGGGAGUGUGAGAGAACCAGACAGUUGGACUGGGGGAGUGAGAGAACCAGACAGUUGGACUGGGGAGUGAGAGAACCAGACAGUUGGACU